AUAUCAAUAAGCGGAGGAAAAGAAACCAACAGGGAUUGCCCUAGUAACGGCGAGUGAAGCGGCAACAGCUCAAAUUUGAAAUCUGGCCCUCGGGUCCGAGUUGUAAUUUGUAGAGGAUGCUUUUGGUGCAGUGCCUUCCGAGUUCCUUGGAACAGGACGCCUUAGAGGGUGAGAGCCCCGUACGGUUGGACACUAAGCCUCUGUAAAGCUCCUUCGACGAGUCGAGUAGUUUGGGAAUGCUGCUCUAAAUGGGAGGUAAAUUUCUUCUAAAGCUAAAUACCGGCCAGAGACCGAUAGCGCACAAGUAGAGUGAUCGAAAGAUGAAAAGUACUUUGAAAAGAGGGUUAAAUAGCACGUGAAAUUGUUGAAAGGGAAGCGUUUAUGACCAGACCUUUGUCUAGCGGAUCAUCCGGUGUUCUUCACCGGUGCACUUCGCUUGGCUCAGGCCAGCAUCGGUUUCUGCAGCGGGAUAAAGACCGUGGGAACGUAGCUCUCUCCGGGGAGUGUUAUAGCCCUAGGUGUAAUACCGUUGCGGGGACCGAGGUUCGCGCUUCUGCAAGGAUGCUGGCGUAAUGGUCAUCAACGA
rnacentral:rRNA from 1 species